rnacentral:rRNA from 1 species
AACGAACGCUGGCGGCAUGCCUAACACAUGCAAGUCGAACGAAGCCUUCGGGCUUAGUGGCGCACGGGUGCGUAACGCGUGGGAAUCUGCCCUUGGGUUCGGAAUAACAGUUAGAAAUGACUGCUAAUACCGAAUGAUGUCUUCGGACCAAAGAUUUAUCGCCCAAGGAUGAGCCCGCGUCGGAUUAGCUAGUUGGUGAGGUAAAGGCUCACCAAGGCGACGAUCCGUAGCUGGUCUGAGAGGAUGAUCAGCCACACUGGGACUGAGACACGGCCCAGACUCCUACGGGAGGCAGCAGUGGGGAAUAUUGGACAAUGGCGGAAAGACCUGAUCCAGCAAUGCCGCGUGAGUGAUGAAGG